rnacentral:sRNA from 1 species
GUUUGGGGUAGGUCUACCAAGUAUGCCACAUUCUGUGGCAUAGCAGACAUAACCCGCAUCGUGCGGG